rnacentral:rRNA from 1 species
CCUACGGGUGGCAGCAGUGAGGAAUAUUGGUCAAUGGGCGUAAGCCUGAACCAGCCAAGUCGCGUGAGGGAUGAAGGUUCUAUGGAUCGUAAACUUCUUUUAUAGGGGACUAAAGGUAUCCACGUGUGGAUAUUUGCAUGUACCCUAUGAAUAAGCAUCGGCUAACUCCGUGCCAGCAGCCGCGGUAAUACGGAGGAUGCGAGCGUUAUCCGGAUUUAUUGGGUUUAAAGGGUGCGUAGGUUGUUUUUUAAGUCAGCGGUGAAAGUUUGUGGCUCAACCAUAAAAUUGCCGUUGAAACUGGAAGACUUGAGUGUGUUUGAGGUAGGCGGAAUGCGUGGUGUAGCGGUGAAAUGCAUAGAUAUCACGCAGAACUCCGAUUGCGAAGGCAGCUUACUAAGCCAUAACUGACACUGAAGCACGAAAGCGUGGGGAUCAAACAGGAUUAGAUACCCCUGUAGUC